rnacentral:rRNA from 1 species
CUCUGUUGUUAAAGAAGAACACGUAUGACGAGUAACUGUUCAUACGUUCGACGGUAUUUAACCAGAAAGUCACGGCUAACUACGUGCCAGCAGCCGCGGUAAUACCGUAGGUGGCAAGCGUUAUCCGGAUUUAUUGGGCGUAAAGAGAGUGCAGGCGGUUUUCUAAGUCUGAUGUGAAAGCCUUCGGCUUAACCGGAGAAGUGCAUCGGAAACUGGAUAACUUGAGUGCAGAAGAGGGUAGUGGAACUCCAUGUGUAGCGGUGGAAUGCGUAGAUAUAUGGAAGAACACCAGUGGCGAAGGCGGCUACCUGGUCUGCAACUGACGCUGAGACCUCGUAAAGCAUGGGUAGCCGAACAGGAUUAGAUACCCCUGGUAG